AUUGAACGCUGGCGGCAUGCCUUACACAUGCAAGUCGAACGGCAGCACGGGGGCAACCCUGGUGGCGAGUGGCGAACGGGUGAGUAACAUAUCGGAACGUGCCCUGGAGUGGGGGAGUAACUAGUCGAAAGACUAGCUAAUACCGCAUACGAUCUACGGAUGAAAGUGGGGGAUCGCAAGACCUCAUGCUCGUGGAGCGGCCGAUAUCUGAUUAGCUA
rnacentral:rRNA from 1 species